UCGUGGAGUGAUUUGUCUGCUUAAUUGCGAUAACGAACGAGACCUUAACCUACUAAAUAGCCAGGCUAGCUUUGGCUGGUCGCCGGCUUCUUAGAGGGACUUUCGGCUCAAGCCGAAGGAAGUUCGAGGCAAUAACA
rnacentral:rRNA from 1 species